rnacentral:rRNA from 1 species
UACGUAGGGGGCGAGCGUUGUCCGAAGUUACUGGGCGUAAAGCGCGCGUAGGCGGUCCUUUAAGUCUGAGGUGAAAGGUUCAGCGCUCAACGUGAACAGUGCCUUGGAGACUGGGGGACUUGAGUUUGGGAGAGGGAUGCGGAAUUCCAGGUGUAGCGGUGAAAUGCGUAGAUAUCUGGAGGAACACCGGUGGCGAAGGCGGCGUUCUGGACUGCAACUGACACUGAGGAACGAAAGCCAGGGGAGCAAACGGG